GUCCCUAUCGUCUAGCGGCCCAGGACUCCGCCUGUUCCCGGCGGCAACACAGGUUCGAACCCUGUUGGGGACGCCA
rnacentral:tRNA from 1 species